UUAAGUUCCAGGUAAUAAGUCUUAUAUGAUAUGUAUCUUAGGUAUAUCUUGUAUUUUGCAGCAUGUUCAAGAAUAUUUCUGCAUGGUGCACUCUUACUGUUAACAAUAUUUGCAUACUAAUAUGAGUAAAAGUGACUUCAACAACCAGAAUGUAUUUUUGAUAAUUAUUAGUAAUAACAGUUCAUAUUGAAACAAGAUAUUGUGUAAAGAGGUUUUCAAAGAAGUCGUUUUAACAACAAUGGAAAAGUUUCCAAUUCUUGAGAUAACCGUGACAGCAUUCGAUACAUGAUUAAAGAAUCGUUUAAAAGUUUGCUUAAUUUCGGCAGUGUAUUUUAAUUACUAUUUUUUUGAAAUAAACGAAUCAAUUUAUA